rnacentral:rRNA from 1 species
GGACCCGACUGCUAUCAAAGUGGGACUAACCCAUGCGAGUCAACAUAGCAAUAUGUGGCAUACGGCUCAUUAACACGUAGUCAACAUGCCCAGGGGACGUGGAUAACCUCGGGAAACUGAGGAUAAACCGCGAUAGGUCAUCACUUCUGGAAUGGGUAAUGACUUAAACCUAUAUGGCCCCUGGAUUGGACUGCGGCCGAUCAGGCUGUUGGUGAGGUAAUGGCCCACCAAACCUGUAACCGGUACGGGCUCUGAGAGGAGGAGCCCGGAGAUGGGCACUGAGACAAGGGCCCAGGCCCUAUGGGGCGCAGCAGGCGCGAAACCUCUGCAAUAGGCGAAAGCUUGACAGGGUUACUCUGAGUGAUUUCCGUUAAGGAGAUCUUUUGGCACCUCUAAAAAUGGUGCAAAAUAAGGGGUGGGCAAGUCUGGUGU